rnacentral:rRNA from 1 species
GACGAACGCUGGCGGCGUGCCUAAUACAUGCAAGUAGGACGCAGUUGCGAACGGGUGAGUAACGCGUAGGUAACUACCUAUUAGAGGGGGAUAACUAUUGGAAACGAUAGCGAAUACCGCAUACGAGUAGAUGGACCUGCGUUGUAUUAGCUAGUAGGUAGGGUAAUGGCCUACCGAGGCAACGGUACAUAGCCGACUUGGAGUGGUGUUCGGCCACACUGGGAAUGAGACCCGGCCCAGGAUCCUUCGGGAGGGAACAGUGGGGAAACUUGGGCAAUGGGGGGAACCCUGACCGAGCAACGCCGCGUGAGUGAAGUAGGUUUUGGGAUCGUAAAGCUCUGUUGUUAAGGGAGCGGUACUUAACCAGAAAGGGCCGGCUAACUACGUGCCAGCAGCCGCGGUAAUUC